rnacentral:rRNA from 1 species
UACAGAGGGUGCAAGCGUUGUUCGGAAUUAUUGGGCGUAAAGGGAGUGUAGGCGGUUCGUUAAGUCUUCUGUGAAAUCUACGGGCUUAGCCUGUAACGUGCAGAGGAAACUAGCGGGCUUGAGUGUCGGAGAGGAUAGGGGAAUACCCAGUGUAGUGGUGAAAUACGUAGAGAUUGGGAAGAACACCAGUGGCGAAGGCGGCUAUCUGGACGGUUUCUGACACUAAGACUCGAAAGCGUGGGGAGCAAACAGG